GGGCUUGUGGUUUAGGGGUAUAAUGUUCGCUUCGCAUCUUCCAAACGCGUCUGCGAAAGGUCCUGGGUUCGAUUCCCAGCAAGUCCA
rfam:Paraphaeosphaeria sporulosa strain AP3s5-JAC2a unplaced genomic scaffold CC84scaffold_3, whole genome shotgun sequence.